UACGAAGGGGGCUAGCGUUGUUCGGAAUUACUGGGCGUAAAGCGCGCGUAGGCGGCCUUGUAAGAUGGGGGUGAAAUCCCGGGGCUCAACCCAGGAACUGCCUUCAUGACUGCAAAGCUAGAGGAUGCGAGAGGUUAGCGGAAUUCCGAGUGUAGAGGUGAAAUUCGUAGAUAUUCGGAAGAACACCAGUGGCGAAGGCGGCUAACUGGCGCAUUUCUGACGCUGAGGUGCGAAAGCGUGGGGAGCAAACAGG
rnacentral:rRNA from 1 species